AUGCUCUGGUUUCUCUUCAGAUCGUAUAAAUCUUUCGCCUUUUACUAAAGAUUUCCGUGGAGAGGAACAAUUCUGAGUUUUGACUCAAUUUUUUGAAGCCUUGUUAAUUAGCAAGGCU
ensembl:snRNA U5 U5 spliceosomal RNA